GUUGGUGAGAUGGCUCAGUGGGUAAGAGCACCCGACUGCUCUUCUGAAGGUCCAGAGUUCAAAUCCCAGCAACUACA
rnacentral:tRNA from 1 species